rnacentral:misc_RNA from 1 species
UGUCAAUCUCGCCCACUUCUGUGUACGCUCUCUAUUCUAUUUCCCUCUGUGUCUGUGUGUUUAUGUAUUUAUCAUAUUUUGCUGAUUAGGGUUCUAAUUUUUUUAUAAAUUGAAGAAAUAAAGCCUAUUAGUUUUGGAUUGAGGAGAGUAUAUGCGUGGAUUAUGAUGCUAUUGUUGAACGUUGGAAUUGGAUUCUUAUGUUUUGGAUUUCGGGGUUUUCAAGUGCUUUCAGGUGAUUAUUUAGUUAGAUUUGUUGUGCUGUUAUGAAAAAUAGAUUUUUGAGGUUUCUCUGUGUUACUACGUGCCCUACUUGUUGGAUCCAGGUACAGAAGCAGGAAAUUAGAUGCUGAAAUUGAACUAGGUUGAUGAGUAGUUAGAUGUGGGGAUUAGAAAUAUGUCUGCUUUUAGAUAUAUUUGUCCAUGCACUUAUAUUAAGUCCUUACUUUAUAUCCUCUUACUGUCUUGGUUGGGUUACCUUGCUUUAAUAUCUAAGUGGUGCUGUCUUGACAUCACAGUAUCAGUCUGUUGUUGAUGUGUUUAUCCACGUAAUUCUAUAUUCUGUGCCAUGUUCCCUCACUGUGGAUUAACUUCUAGGUGAGGCAUUUACUUUCUGCUGAUUCUGCAUUUGAGUUAAAAGUAACUAUUACUUGUAAUAGUGGAGGUUCUUAUUUAUUUAACAGAAGUAGUGAAUAAUGUCUAAUUCAGUGAUUUAUCACAGCUUUAAUAGCAAUAAACUACAGCAGUAUUGCUGCUGUUUAAUAGGCAUUUUUUGGAUUUUGAAAUAACUUAACAUCAUUUUAUCUUUCACUCAAUCCUUUGCUAAAUGGGAUUUAUGACUAUUGAUCAAUUUCUUAUAUGUUCCUUUUCCUGUUUAAUUUUUUUUUUCCUAAUACUACCUUAAAGUUCGUACUUGAAAAUGGACCAUGAUUAAGUAAAAUGCUUUAUCUUGUAGAUCACUUAUCACUUCUUCCACUGG